UACGGAGGGUGCAAGCGUUAAUCGGAAUUACUGGGCGUAAAGCGCACGCAGGUGGCUGAGUCAGUCGAUUGUGAAAGCCCUGGGCUUAACCUGGGAAUUGCAGUCGAUACUACUCGGCUCGAGUAUGGGAGAGGGCAGUGGAAUUCCCGGUGUAGCGGUGAAAUGCGUAGAUAUCGGGAGGAACAUCAGUGGCGAAAGCGGCUCUCUGGAACGGUACUGACGCUGAGACGCGAAAGCGUGGGGAGCGAACAGG
rnacentral:rRNA from 1 species